CCUACGGGCGGCUGCAGUGGGGAAUCUUCCGCAAUGGACGAAAGUCUGACGGAGCGACGCCGCGUGAGUGAUGAAGGCCCUUGGGUCGUAAAGCUCUGUCAUUGGGGACGAACGACCGCUUCAGGAAAUGGGAGCGGAGUGACGGUACCCAAGAAGGAAGCCACGGCUAACUACGUGCCAGCAGCCGCGGUAAUACGUAGGUGGCAAGCGUUGUCCGGAAUUAUUGGGCGUAAAGCGCGCGCAGGUGGGAUCUUAAGUCUGUUCUGAAAGUUCGGAGCUUAACUCCGUGAUGGGAUGGAAACUGGGAUUCUUGAGUACCGGAGAGGAAAGCGGAAUUCCCCGUGUAGCGGUGAAAUGCGUAGAUAUGGGGAGGAACACCAGUGGCGAAGGCGGCUUUCUGGACGGUGUCUGACACUGAGGCGCGAAAGCUAGGGGAGCGAACGGGCUUAGAUACCCCUGUAGUC
rnacentral:rRNA from 1 species